rnacentral:rRNA from 1 species
UACGUAGGGUGCAAGCGUUGUCCGGAAUUAUUGGGCGUAAAGAGCUCGUAGGCGGUUUGUUGCGUCGGCUGUGAAAUCCCGAGGCUCAACCUCGGGUCUGCAGUCGAUACGAGCAAACUAGAGUGUUGCAGGGGGAGACUGGAAUUCCUGGUGUAGCGGUGAAAUGCGCAGAUAUCAGGAGGAACACCGGUGGCGAAGGCGCCACUCUGGGCCGAAACUGACGCUGAGGAGCGAAAGCAUGGGUAGCAAACAGG